rnacentral:rRNA from 1 species
UGGGGAAUUUUGGACAAUGGGGGAAACCCUGAUCCAGCCAUCCCGCGUGUGCGAUGAAGGCCUUCGGGUUGUAAAGCACUUUUGGCAGGAAAGAAACGUCAUGGGUUAAUACCCCGUGAAACUGCCGGUACCUGCAGACUAACCACCGGCUAACUACGUGCCAGCAGCCGCGGUAAUACGGAGGGUGCAAGCGUUAAUCGGAAUUACUGGGCGUAAAGCGUGCGCAGGCGGUUCGGAAAGAAAGAUGUGAAAUCCCGGAGCUCAACUAUGGAACUGCAUUUGAAACUACCAGGCUAGAGGGUGGGAGAGGGAGGUGGAAUUCCGAGUGUAGCAGUGAAAUGCGUAGAUAUGCGGAGGAACACCGGUGGCGAAGGCGGCCUACUGGGAUGACACUGACGCUGAGGGACGAAAGCGUGGGGAGCAAACAGG